CGGACAGAAGGGAGCUUGCUCCCGGAUGUUAGCGGCGGACGGGUGAGUAACACGUGGGUAACCUGCCUGUAAGACUGGGAUAACUCCGGGAAACCGGAGCUAAUACCGGAUAGUUCCUUGAACCGCAUGGUUCAAGGAUGAAAGACGGUUUCGGCUGUCACUUACAGAUGGACCCGCGGCGCAUUAGCUAGUUGGUGGGGUAAUGGCUCACCAAGGCGACGAUGCGUAGCCGACCUGAGAGGGUGAUCGGCCACACUGGGACUGAGACACGGCCCAGACUCCUACGGGAGGCAGCAGUAGGGAAUCUUCCGCAAUGGACGAAAGUCUGACGGAGCAACGCCGCGUGAGUGAUGAAGGUUUUCGGAUCGUAAAGCUCUGUUGUUAGGGAAGAACAAGUGCGAGAGUAACUGCUCGCACCUUGACGGUACCUAACCAGAAAGCCACGGCUAACUACGUGGCAGCAGCCGCGGUAAUACGUAGGUGGCAAGCGUUGUCCGGAAUUAUUGGGCGUAAAGGGCUCGCAGGCGGUUUCUUAAGUCUGAUGUGAAACCCCC
rnacentral:rRNA from 1 species